AACGGCCAUACCAUGCUGAAUAUAUCGGUUCUCGUUAGAUCACCGAAGUCAAGCAUCAUUGGGCGCGGUCAGUACUUGGGUGGGUGACCACCUGGGAACACCGCGUGCCGUU
rnacentral:rRNA from 1 species